UUUAGGUUGGGGUGACCACGGAGCAUAAAAUAACCUCCACGAAGAAGAGACUAAUAAUCUUUAUCAAAGAAGUACACUUCUAAGAAUUAACAAAUUAAUUUCCAAUGAUCCGAUAUUCGAUCAACGAACCAAGUUACCCUGGGGAUAACAGCGCAAUCCACCUCAAGAGCUCCUAUCGACAGGUGGGUUUACGACCUCGAUGUUGGAUCAGGAUAUCCCAGUGGUGUAGCAGCUACUAAAGGUUCGUUUGUUCAACGAUUAAAAUCCU
rnacentral:rRNA from 1 species